UACGUAGGGUCCGAGCGUUGUCCGGAAUUACUGGGCGUAAAGAGCUCGUAGGUGGUUUGUCGCGUUGUUCGUGAAAACUCACAGCUCAACUGUGGGCGUGCGGGCGAUACGGGCAGACUUGAGUACUGCAGGGGAGACUGGAAUUCCUGGUGUAGCGGUGGAAUGCGUAGAUAUCUGGAGGAACACCAGUGGCGAAGGCAGCUUCCUGGCCUGUAACUGACGCUGAGACGCGAAAGCGUGGGGAGCGAACCGG
rnacentral:rRNA from 1 species